UAGGGGGCAAGCGUUAUCCGGAUUUACUGGGUGUAAAGGGAGUGUAGGUGGCAUAACAAGUCAGAAGUGAAAGCCCGGGGCUCAACCCCGGGACUGCUUUUGAAACUGUUAAGCUUGAGUGCAGGAGAGGUAAGCGGAAUUCCUAGUGUAGCGGUGAAAUGCGUAGAUAUUAGGAGGAACACCAGUGGCGAAGGCGGCUUACUGGACUGUAACUGACACUGAGGCUCGAAAGCGUGGGGAGCAAA
rnacentral:rRNA from 1 species